CGACGAAGGAGUGUGGAGCAGUUUAGUCAGCCAACUCGAGUCGAUUUCAGGGUCUCCUAGGUGAAGUCCUUGAGUGCCUCAAGAAGGAAUCGCCGAGCAUCGUCAUACAGCAGUAUUUUUUCCUUCGACAAUUAAUCUUGCAUCUCCAACCGUGGAAUGAGUUACAUGUGACUCGAGACAAACAAACAGUGCAAUUGCAACCAUAUAAUUAGUCAGCGGUAUGGUCACUAUCAGCAGCUUUACACACAGUGUGCAUCGUGAAUACACCAAUCCAAGAGAAAACAUUCCAAUGGAAAAUAUUGAGAAUUUCUGCCCUUCUAUCCUGAACUACACAAUGCUGGUUUGUAUAAAUAGGCAUAAAAAAACCUAUCAACAGUAUUUUUAGUUUGCAGUUUGCUUUAACAUACAACUCUAUGGCAUGUUGAUAUUAGCUAAAUUUUUAUUAUUUAUAGUAUUAGACGGUACAAAAAAUUCUUCUCUCGGAAGUUUAUGACUUUGGACUUGCUUGAGAUGACCCUUGAGCCAAGAAGCUUUUCCUGCUUUGUGUGGACAGGAAUAUUAGAGGCAUUGAUGUCUGAAACCAACAAGUGUCUUGCAAAGAAAGUAAAAAGAAACAUUGAUGUUGGUCAUCCUCUGAGUGAUGCUGAAGCCUGGUAUCUUAUUGAUCAAUAAUUGGUUCUAUUCAUGGGGAAAAGAAUGUUGUGUGGGAGAAACAGGGGUCAUUCCGCUGAAAUUGAAUUAAUUCUGGCGCUCGACAUCACCGAUUUUUUUAAUUUUUUUACAGUGUAUUCAUUGUGUUGGUAUAAAAUUUUCUGUAAAGGGAAAAAUUUUUCCCGUUU
rnacentral:lncRNA from 1 species